rnacentral:rRNA from 1 species
GACGAACGCUGGCGGCGUGCUUAACACAUGCAAGUCGAACGGAAAGGCCCUGCUUUUGUGGGGUGCUCGAGUGGCGAACGGGUGAGUAACACGUGAGUAACCUACCCUUGACUUUGGGAUAACUUCAGGAAACUGGGGCUAAUACCGGAUAGGAGCUCCUGCUGCAUGGUGGGGGUUGGAAAGUUUCGGCGGUUGGGGAUGGACUCGCGGCUUAUCAGCUUGUUGGUGGGGUAGUGGCUUACCAAGGCUUUGACGGGUAGCCGGCCUGAGAGGGUGACCGGCCACAUUGGGACUGAGAUACGGCCCAGACGCCUACGGGAGGCAGCAGUGGGGAAUAUUGCACAAUGGGCGGAAGCCUGAUGCAGCAACGCCGCGUGCGGGAUGACGGCCUUCGGGUUGUAAACCGCUUUCGCCUGUGACGAAGCGUGAGUGACGGUAAUGGGUAAAGAAGCACCGGCUAACUACGUG